UAUAUAAUUAUAAAACGCAUACAGGCAUAAAGCAUGACUUAUCGUGUGUAAUAAAAGCAAAUUAUCCCUUAAAAGCCGUAAAAUGGAUCUACUCUGUUAAGAACAAAGGCUCUGUGGCUGUGCCGCCCUCAGCAGCUAACGUGACGGUCAGAUGCAGUGUUCUCUGCGUCCAUCUUCAUUACUGUACGGAAAUUGUAUGGAUGGAUUAAACUGAUAGAUUAAACUGAACAAGAUGCUUCUUUCCGUGACACCGCUGCAUGGGCUAAUUCUCUUUUCCUCAGUCUUCGUUCAAAUAGCAGGUAUAAAAGUUAUUGGUCAUGAUACAGCAGUCGUAUAUGGAGAAAAUGCCACAUUGUUGUGUCAGCUGACUGAGACUCAUCAAAAUGCUGAUGUAACUCGUAUUAUAUGGAAGAAGAAGACACAAGAAAAUGCUGAAGAGAAGACCUUCUUUUCCAUUCGCCCAGGUCCCAAAACUGAAUACUCAAAUGGAUUGGGGGACAGAGUACAAUUCAUUGGGAACUUUACAGAGAAAAAUGGAUCAAUCCAGCUACUUAGAAUUGGGCUUCUGGAUGAUGGGAUCUAUACAUGCAUCUUCAACUUAUUUACUGUUGGGACAUUUGAGACUGACAUCAAUGUCACAGUUUUUGCUCGUCCUUCAAAUAAUGUAAGAGGAGAGGUGCCUGUUGCUGGUUUUACAGAGGCCACCUUGGUGUCAUGUUUUGCCUCUAAUGCAAAGCCUGCAGCAGAAGUGAUAUGGAGAUUAGGAGAUCUAGAAAACUCUCUGAAGACUAAUACCAACUAUACAAUGAACUCAGAUGGGACUGUUACUGUUGUAUCCUACCUACUUGGUGUCCCAUUCAAACAUUUAAACAAGAAGAAUGUCCAGUGUGUGGUCAAACACAACACAGUGAGAGAUGAACUUGUGUUGAACUACACAAUAAACAUCCACUAUCCACCAGAUUCAGUUGUUAUCAUUCCUGACAGUCCAACAAACAUUAAGGAAUUCCAGUGUAAAGUGGAUAGUAACCCAGAACCAACCAACUACAAUUGGACUCGAGUGAAUAAAAGUGAUCCAUUUUAUGAAGGUAAAAAGCUUCCUGUACCAAAUCUGACCCCUGACUUUAAUGGCUUGUACAUCUGUCAUGCUUCAAACCAGUAUGGAAGUUCAACAGGAUCUCUCUAUGUGAAUGUUCAUAAUGAAACCAACGCCGUCUGUUGGAGUCUGUUCUGUGUUUUCAUCGCUGCUUUUCUUGGUGCUGCAUUCCUAUUUGUGUUCAUAUGGAAACAUAAACCGGAAUGGAUUCAAGUAUUACAGAGUUCCAAUGAUGAAAGAGAUUAGGGUGAUGAAGAACUUCAAUCCAGAUGAUCAGACUGAAGCAGUGUCGACAAGUUUCAACUAGUUUUGGCUAUGAUUUGACUAGAUUUAAGAAGAAAUUAGGCUGAUUUGCUGAACUGAAUGUUUCUUUCGCAAACCGGAUAUCCAGGCUUUGUUUUGAACUCUCUCUCAUUACAGACCCGGAAGAGAAGACAAUGCUGAAUAAAGUCGUCGUUUUUGCUAUUUUUGGACCAAAAUGUAUUUUCGAUGUCACAUGGACUACUUUGAUGAUGUUUUUCUUACCUUUCUGGACUUGGACAGUAUACCGUACACACAACUUCAGUGGAAAGACUGAGAUCUCUCGGACUAAAUCUAAAAUAUCUUAAACUGUGUUCCAAAGAUAAACGGAGGUUUUACAGGUUUGAAACAACAUGAGGGUAAGUGAUUAAUUACAUAAUUUUGCUAUCUGGGUGAACUAACCCUUUAAGGAACAGGUGGGGGGGUAAUAACACAAAGAUUUAAUCAAAAUAGGACAGUUUGUAGGCAUAAGUGACCCCAUCAAAGACUGCCAACCUCAAAGAUCCUUAAGAGGCAAUUAUGGAGAGUUUAGUAAUCUAUCCAUGCAUUUAAACUGUUGUGACAUAUGGAGACUAAAAUAUCCACAGCAAAUCCAGUUCACUUGGACUAACAAAGAUUUAUCUAAGAGAUCCAGGAUUGACUUCUGGCUUAUUUCAAAUGAGUUGUCAGACAAUGUGGAAGAAACCAAAAUACAGCCCUCAAUAUUUUCGGAUCAUAAUAUGAUCACUUUAGUAAUAUGUAUAAGGGGUCAAUCAAUAAAAUAUAAACCAAACUAUUGGAAAUUAAAUAAUAUACUUUUGAGUGAUAAAAGCUUCAUUGAAAAAGCCAAAACAAUCAUAAAUGAAAAUUUGAUAGAAGCAAAAAAAUACAGAAUAUAUGGAAAAUAUUGGGAGUAUACAAAAUUUCAAAUUCGUAAUAUGGCCAUUGAGAGGGCAAAAGAAUUAUCUAAGGAAAAAAGAAUGAGACAAGAUAGAAUACUCAAGGGAAUCAUUUCUAUUUUUGAAAAAAAACGAGCAUUAAUACUCAUUAAUACACAAGCUGACAUUAAUACUGUAUUUGAAUUACAAGCUGAAUUGGACAGUAUCUAUCAAAAUUUGGCACAGGGAGCCUUUAUUCGAUCUAGGCGGAAAUGGAUAGAGCAUGGUGAAAGGAAUACGAAGUAUUUUCAUAAUUUAGAAAAAAGAAAUGUUAGUGUUAACAGUAUAUAUAAACUUAAAAUUAAUGAUCAGAUCUCUGAAGAUCCCUCAAAAAUUUUAAUUUUGUGGAAGAUUUUUAUAUAAAACUAUAUUCCAAACAUAACAGUUGUCAGAGCUCAUAUUUCCUCUCAUGUAUAAAAAGUGUGGCUCAAGGUAUUGAUAAAACUCAGAAGGACAUUUGUGAUCAAGACAUAUCCCUAGAAGAACUUAAAAAGAACAUUAGUAAAUUAAAAGAUAAUAAAUCCCCAGGGAAUGAUGGCCUAACAGGUGAAUUUUAUAAAGCAUUUCAAGAUUACAUCUCUGAAUUCUUAUUAUUAGUUUUUAAGGAGGCUAUAGAAACCUGUAGGCUUCCCCCAACUAUGUGUCAAGGCUUAAUUACAUUGUUACCUAAACCCAAUAAGGAUCGUUUGCUUCUUGACAAUUGGAGGCCUAUAACUUUAAUUAAUAAUGAUGCAAAAUUGCUGGCUCAUAUUUUUGCGCAAAGAAUAAAGUUAUGCUUAGAUACAAUAAUAGAUGACAGUCAGUCUGGUUUUAUGCAAGGACGGCAUAUUAGUAACAAUAUUCGAUUAAUCUUAGAUCUAAUCGAUUAUAAGGAUUUAAUAACUGAUAAUAGUUACAUUCUAUUUAUAGAUAUAUACAAAGCCUUUGAUACUGUGACACAUGAUUUUUUAUUUGAUGUUUUAGAUUUUUUUGGUUUUGGUCAAUACUUUAAAAGGGCAAUACUAACUUUAUAUAGUGAUUGCAAUAGUUCAGUUAAACUUCCAUGGGGAACUACUCGUAGAUUUAGCAUCUCCCGGGGCAUAAAACAAGGAGAUCUGGCGGCUCCUUUCUUGUUUCUUCUGGUCAUGCAAACUAUGGCUUUAUAUAUAAAUAAUGACUUGUUUCAAGGUAUCAAAAUUAUGGAAAAAGAAAUUAAAUGUUGUCAGCUAGCUGAUGAUACUGCUAUUUUUUUAAAAGACAUUUCACAGGUUAAAAAAGUUAUAGAGUGUCUCAAUAUAUUUUCUAAAGCUUCAGGAUUAUCUUUAAAUGUUAAAAAAUGUACUCUUUUUCCACUUAAAGACAAUGAUACUCCUUUAACUGAAUUUGAAGGUAUUCCAGUUAGAGAGGAAGUUACGUACCUUGGUAUCAAUAUCUGUAAAAAUCAAUCAGACAGAGUGCAAUCAAAUUUCCAACCCCUUAUAGUGAAAACCAAAAAGAGAUUUGAUAUGUGGCUCAUGAGGGAUUUAUCACUCAAAGGUAGAGUUCUUUUGUCCAAAACUGAGGGGCUGUCUCGUUUAGUCUAUCCUGCAAAGGUGUUAGAUGCACCAAAAUCUUGUAUUAAAAAAAUUGAUUCAACAUUAUUCAACUUUAUAUGGAAAAACAAGUCACACUAUUUAAAUAAAAAUUUUAUGUAAUUCUUAUAAUCAAGGAGGUUUAAAUGUGCUUGAUUUUGAUACUUCUAAUACAAUCUUCAAAUUGAACUGGAUUAAACACUAUAUUAAGCAUACUGAUAAACUAUGGUAUAUCAUUCCGAAUCUUAUUUUUGAAAAAGUUGGUGGUAUAGAGUUUGAGGUUAACAAGCUCCCCUUUCAGCUAUCCAAUUUUCAUAGACAGGCUCUUUUAUGUUGGCUUCUUAUAUACAAACAUAACUUCUCCCCUCACAAACAGUUAAUUUGGAAUAAUAAAAUUGUUAAAUAUAAGAAUAAAUCAAUCUUCUAUGACAAUUGGAUUAAAAACGAUAUUCUAAUGGUCUCACAACUGAUGAAUAAUGAGGGUUACUUACUAACAUAUACUGAAUUUUUAAACAUAUUUAGGAUUCCAAUAACUCCAAGGGAGUAUAGUAUUGUCUUUGAUGCAAUUCCAGAAGGUUUAUUGAGACUCUUGAGAGGUAGUAGUGAACCUCAUAAGCAAUCAAUAAAUAAAAAACAGGUCUUGUUAAACGGAGUUGAUAUAAAAGAUAGUAAAUGUAAUAAUAAGUUCUUUAGAUGCUUGGUUCACUUCCCUGCUACGCCCCGAAAUAAAUAUUUUUGGAAUGAACACUUUGGAAAUAUUAAUUGGAGAUUGAUUUGGACUUAUAAUAAUAAAUACUGUAUUAAUAAUAAAGUUUUUGAAAUAUACUUUAAAAUUAUACAUAAAAUUUACCCAACAAAUGAGUUCCUAAAACGAUAUAAAAAUGACCUUUCAGAAUCCUGUACACUUUGUAAAAAGGAUACUGAAACUGUCUUACAUCUUUUCUUUGAAUGCUUGUAUGUGAAGUUUUUUUGGAUUGAUGUGGAAUAUUUAUUUAAUAUGUUGAGUGGAAUUAAAAUGUACAUAGAGAAAAAGGAUGUUUUUUUUUAUUAUGACAAAAAAGAGACAGAUAAAAAUCACAGUUUUGUGUUAAAUCUUAUUUUAUUACUUGGUAAGUUUUACGUACAUAAAUGUAAAUGGUCUGAAAGGAUACCCAACAUCUACCAUUUUAAGGCUGACAUGAAGAUUUACUUUGAAACACUGAAAGGACUUUCAAACCGCAAAGCAAUAAGAACUAUGGACAUUAUCAAAUAAUUACAUUUCUCUUCUUUAUUUUAAUUAUAUAUGUACACCCCUUUUUCGUUAUGUUUUUGUAUAUGUUUGUGUUCUUUUUUUGUUUUUUGUUUUUGUCUUAUGAUGCUUUGUAAUCAUUUAGAAUAUUAUUUGUUAAAUAUUUGUAUUCAUUGUACUACUUGAUGUAUAAUUUAAAAAAAAAAAAAAAAAAAAGGACAGUUUGUAGGCUACAGUAGUCCUAACAACAACAUGUUCUGUGCAAAACAGCUUUAAUGUGCAACAGGUAAAUGCAGGCUUAAACACUUCUCAUCUAAGUGUGAUGCAAUAGCUGCUAAAAUUAGUGCAACUGAAAUCAGGAUGUUAAAAUAACCAGCCAGAAUGUUUCAUGAUUAUGCCUAGCUAUCUUGCAAUCACUAUUUCUUGUAGAAAUACAACCUCAGCUUGAAAAUGGUGCUACUGUAUAAAAAAAAUUUGUAUUUACAGUGCUGUGAAAAGUAUAAAUUACAAGAAUAUACAAAAUGAACAGGUAUUUUAUCAUUGUUCAUGGAUAACCAAUAUAAUUUAACAAACAACAUCUGGAAUAUGCAUUUUAUAAUGAUCCUACAUACUAAAGAAAAUGCCUUGUGUGAAAAAGUACUAUCCGUCUAUCUGUCUCCCAAAAUUAAUAUAGAAAGCAAAGGGUACGAUGCUUCAGUCAGAGUAAAUGUGGACUAGUCAACCAUUGGAAUGGGAUGGCAAAAGUCUGAUCUACAUAGAAUAAGACAGUACUGAAGAUUGAUAUUCUACAUGAAGAACAGUUUUGUCUGGCCACAGUUCCAAACAUGUUGGGAGCAAAGAAACUUAUACAAUUGUGAAUCGUUGAUGUGAAUCAUGAUGAUUGGAGUGUUGUAUGGUUUUGGAGUGUUUUACUGGUUCAGAGCCCAACAAAACAUGGUGUCAUUUCAUGAUGUCAAAUAAUCCAGAUUUCACAGAAGACCGUCUAACUGACCCUCUGAUGUCACAUGGACUACUUUGAAGAUGUUUUUCUUACCUUUCUGGACAUUGAAAGUAUACCGUGCAUACAGUUUCAAUGGAGGGACUGAGAGCCUCUGGACUAAAUCUAAAAUAUCUUAAAUUGUGUCCUGAAGAUGAACGGAGGUCUCACGGGUUUGGAACGACAUGAGGCUGAAUUAUUGAUGACAUAAUUUUUUUUUUUUUUUUUGGUGAACUAACCCU